GUCACAUCUGAUGAGUUCACUAAUUCAGAUUCUGAUUCUGAAGAGGAGAUUCCCGUUCUCGUAAGGGAAAAUGGAAAGCCUGUGGUCAAGGAUGAGCAGGCCAUGCUUGCUACUGAGAAGGUUAAGGCUACCACUAAACUUGAAUCCUCGACUGCUAAGCCCAAGGUUCAAAUAGCGGAACCUAGUAAGGGUAAGGAAGAAGAUGAAGAUGAUCAUGAAGAUGAAUCAUCAGAAGAUGAAUCUGAUGAUGAUGAGGUACUUUUUAUUCUCUCAAGGAGUAUUAUCAUUUUUGGCUAGGAAAAUAAAAUUUCUCACCCCUCGUUGUGUUAAUUAAAUUUUCUUCCUUUUCCUUUUAGUUGAAGGCAGUUUCAAAUUAUCAGUUUAAUGCUAAUUUGAAAGUCUUUAUUUAUUUAUUUUUGUGA